UGGUGUGGCAUAGUGGUUUGAGCGUCGGACUAUGACUCUGGAGAUCAGGGUUCGGAUCUCAGCUUGGCAA